rnacentral:misc_RNA from 1 species
GUAAUAUGGUUUAAAAGCUAUGGUAAAGAUGGAAAUGAAGUAGCAAGUUUGGGAUUGAGACGUGAAAUAGUUGAAAGAAUGAAGUGGGAACAACAGAGAGGUGGAUGGCAAAAUCAAGGGAGGAUCAAACAAGUCGAAGAGAACAGAGAAAAUAGUAGUGGAUGGAGAAGAUUCACUUGCUAUGUUUUGGUUGAGAGGUUUGUGUUGAGAAGA